AAAGAAAGCGAUGCAUGGACCCACGUAUCGAUAAAUUGCGAGGCAUAAGGACGUUAAGCCUGUGCCAUAGAAGUCUGCGGCAAAGGAGCAAACGAACGGGGAUUUGGCUAGCUUUGCCGAUCCCGUUCGUUUCGGUUCCUCUUAUUCUAUGUUCCCAUUGUUCUCCGUCGCCAUUCUACGCCUGCGCGCUGUUUGUGGUUCUCUAGUUGCCCGCUUGUGCCGCUUUGUUGACCCUUCAGGUACGAGUUCAUUGGGCUUCAACCUUCAUUACCGCUCUUCGUCCUAUUCGUUUAUGAUGCCAUCGUACCUCUGUCUUUUGGACUACGGCGCGAGUUGUUCAUUUCGGGAGCGAGGAAGGGGGGAAAAAAGAAAGGCAAGAGCGCCAUCUAUGUGCCCGUGGGACGACGCCUGUCACUGCGCGUAUUAAUGGCGCAGCUUUUUGAGCAAGCGUCUCGGAACAGUGGCGAGGGCUUAGCGGGCGAAUGAUGUGAUAAAAGCAACCCCCGAGAAACGGGUCUCCUGGUUUUUAUCGAGCUGCACAUCGCUUGAGGAGCGGGCAACGUUUGACUCCUGCCAUGGACAUCAAGGCAGUGUUUGUAUUUGUCCUGUCGGCAGUGCUGGCAGACAUGGUACAUGGCCAGUGUGGGCGACCUGCGAGGUGCAGGGGGCCCUGUCAGCUCGGUCUGUCGCUCCCUGGAUAUUGCGGAAUCUGUGUCUGCGCUCCGCUGUGCCCCAUCUGUCCUUCUCGUUGCUACUACCGAAGAGCAGGAAGGUGUCCGGCCUGCGCACCAGCCAGCGUGUGCUACAAGUAGAGACGUCGUCGGAGUUGCGAGACUGAGAACUCAAUAAAAUGAUCCCUUGUCUGUG
rnacentral:lncRNA from 1 species